rnacentral:lncRNA from 1 species
AUAAAAAAGAUAACAACUAUUCUUUAUUUCAAAGUCCUUCAUGAAAACCCAUAGAAGGCCAGAAUACUUUGCCUAUGAUUAGCGCUACAACCUGAAGACUUGCACUAAACUCAUCAUCCUGUUGCGUGAAGGAAAUUUGGUGCGUACAUCAAGCAGAAUAGCAGAAAACAUAACUUGGUAGUUUCAUGUUUAACACUACUUUGAUAUUGUUUCGAAAACUCAAUCACGGAACAUGUUAUCUACCAAAUUGUAAUGGUGUUUGGUGUAUCUCCACACAAUGUUGUUGCCAUGCAGCAUUGACUUGAUACUUUGAAGAAUGUAUAUCUGUUAUUCUCUAGUAUACAUCCAAUAAUUAUUUUUGACUUUAAGAGUGCAGAUAUCCAUUAAACUGAUUUGUUCGAACCAUACAUGAUAGUAUCAUUCUACAUAGUCUCAAUAACAAAGGGAACUUGGACUAAUGGUUUAAUAUAUCUAUUCAUGCUGAAUUCUCCUGCUUUUAGCUGGAAAAGGUUGUGUUCACUUUUAUUUGAAUAAACAAAAACUGCAUGCGCUCUCAUGAUAUUCGUUAGAUUAUUUCACUUCUACUAAUCUGAGUAUAUGACGCUUGUUUUCGGAAAGGUAGCUCAUGAUAAAAAAAAGGGACUCGGUUAUACUCUGAUAUGUGACCAAGAGGAUUAAAAUCAGGCCUAAUGCUCGAUGUCUGUCGCACCUGUGGACGUGGCUCGACCACCCAUAUGAUUCUAUCUGAAUAUUUGAUAAUUUGAGUGGAACUCUGAAUAGAAUUAGUGAAUGUAUCUACCAGUUUCGGAUCUCUUGCUCCCAUACAUGAUGUGGAUCCUCCAACUGGGGUCCUUUGUUGUACUGUAUUGACACAAAAUAACUGACACCAUGAGCCAAAUAAAAUAUAGAAGUCAGGUAAUGAGUGUCAAUGUUUUAUCAGAAGAAAUAUUGUAAUUAAAUUGUAUGAAUUCAAUGAGCUAAGAGAGUUCGAUUAGUUUGAAUCAAAAUUAUGUGACCAUUUCUACAUAAAAGAGUGUAAAAAAAACUUAUUGUAGAUAACAUGAGCAACCAAUAACUGUUUUUAUCUAACAAAAAACAACGGGUAGAGAAUCUUUUGUCAAUAAAAUCAAUCCUUGAUAAUUCAGAAAUGGACGAUGAACUAGACAUAGAUUAAAGGUUGGUAGUUACUACUACACGGUUGGUAGUUAUGCAUCGGGAAGGAGAGGCCUUGGAGGCGGGUGCAUUCCAUAUUGUAUGUAUUGUCCAAUUAGCAUAAAUAAGAAAGAAAAAAACAUGACGACAACAAAUACAUGAAGAUAGAAAUGUAUAAAUUACUCUGAAGAUAAAUUAGCUGACAUGCAUGGAUGGAUAAUGUACGUGGGAGCUGAGGUUGACUAUUCCAUGGUUCAGAAAGAGAUGAAGCGCGGCUGGCGAGGCACCUUCAGAUUGGAGGCUCCGCUUGCAUUCCUCUCCUCCAGGCUCCAGCGCGAGCGCAGCCACCAUGCGGGAAGGCCGCCGUGUUCUAAGUGACACGUCGGCCAGCGCCCACGGCCCUGAACACCUCCAUGCCCACACCUCUGCUGGCUUGUGCAUCUCUCGAUUCCUCCAGCUUUUGCACCAGCCACUGCUCUGGUGGACGUCGCCACCUAGAUCCAAGAAGGAGUGUGUUUGUCGUCCUAUUCGACCGGCACCACACCGAUGGAGAUCGUGGCACAUCACAUGGGAGGCGACAUCGGGAAGGAGAGGCCUUGGAGGCGGGUGCGUGCGGACGUCUUCAUGGAGGGAGACAUCGAUGAUUAUCACAACUGUUUACUCAUGAAAUAUUCAUUCAGGUUUUACUGGGCACAAACAUCAUGAUACCUAUGAGUUUCUCUUACCAGUUUUAUUCAGUUGGCGACAUAAGUUUCCAAUUUUAGGUCAUUUACCGGUUUAAUAAGCUACUUCAUGAACGCUGAACAUCAUGUGCUUAUCUUCCAUGCUAACUUGCGGCAUUUACCAACUGUUAGCAGCUUAGUUGAGUCUGUUGAGUAAAUAGGCAAUUUUUCGAGUAGAUUAAUCCANAUCUCUAAUUUCAACAAUCCCCCACCAGAUCUCAAGGGCACAUCGUGUUCCCUCGUUCCAAUCACUGUUUUAAUAUACCAGCAUUUCAGUGAAGACCUGUUAAGGUUGAGCUUCACCUAGAGCAAGUAGCUACACCCCUUUACAACUGAACAAUGGACUAUGCCUUGAAUUGUCAGUUUGGCGUAAAGGAGCUUUACCACAAGUCUUACUAGUACUAGGUUGCCGAAGGUGACCCCUCGGGUGGAGCAUAGUAGUCACACUCGUGGCCUAUUCAUGAGUUUACUAGAGAUCACCCAAAUCUCAUAGACUGUGACCAGCAGUCAAGCUCAUAUAGGUGUGUUCCUCCAAAGUUCGCUUUGUAGGACAGCAUCUUGCUUACAUAUAAGCUUUAGAACACAUUAAGACAGUAGUCAUCCUACCAUACAGUAUCCUAGAGUAUUGCAUCUCCAACGGAGUGGGUUAGUAAAGUUACUCUCCUCAGUUCACCACUGGCUUGUUUUCCCAGGUCCUACUUCACGGGAUCUUCGAUCAUAUAGGUUGGGUUACUGCCAUGGCAACUCAUGUGGGUCUCAUACCCAUCUCCCUCGAUGCACUGUCUAUCACAACACGUGAUAGCCCUUUAGUAAAGGGAUCUGCCAGAUUCUUAGCCGUUUGGAUGUAAUCCAACGCUAUCACUCCGGAGUUUCUCAAACGUCUGACAUACUUCAAUCUCAUUCUUAUAUGUUUGUUGGACUUCAUAUUGUCCUUUGAACUCUUCACUUUAACAAUAAUUGUUUGAUUAUCGCAGUUCAUAAGGAUAGCCGGAACCGGCUUCUCAACCACAGGUAAGUCCAUCAAAAGAUCUCGAAGAAAUUCUGCUUCGACACCAGAUGUGUCUAAUGCUGUUAAUUCUGCUUCCAUUGUCGAUCUCGUUAAGAUCGUUUGCUUGCAAGACUUCUAGGAAACAACACCACCCCAAGAGUAAACAUAUACCCAGUGGUGGCCUUCAUCUCAUCAGCAUCAGAGAUCCAAUUCGCAUCACUAUACCCUUCAAGUACCGAUGGGAAUCCUGUAUAGUGAAGCCCGUGGUUGACAGUACCUUUCAAGUAGCGCAUAACUCUUUCAACAGCACGCCAAUGAACAUCGCCCGGGUUUGCAACAAACCGGCUAAGUUUGCUCACAGCAAACGCGAUGUCAGGCCUCGUUGCGCUAGCUAGGUACAUAAGCGAACCGAUAAUUUGAGAGAAUCUCAAUUGAUCUAUAGUUGUGCCUUUAAACUUUCGAAUAAGCACACUAGGAUCAUAUGGUGUUUGAGAAAUUUUGCAGUCUGGAUAUCCAAAGCGACUCAAAAUCUUCUCAACAUAGUGGGAUUGCAGAAGUGUAAUCCCACCCUCAUCAUCUCUCAACAGCUUGAUGUUCAAGAUAACAUCAGCCACCCCAAGGUCCUUCAUCUCAAAGUUUUGAGACAGAAAAGACUUAACCUCCUCAAUUACUUUGAGGUUGGUUCCAAAUAUCAGUAUGUCAUCAACAUACAAGCAUAAUAUAACUCCUUCGCCCCCACCAUGGCAAUAGUAUACACAUUUGUCAGCUUCAUUAACAACGAAGCCAACAGAUGUCAGAGUUGUAUUAAACUUCUCAUGCCAUUGCUUAGGUGCUUGUCUCAGACCAUAUAAAGAUUUCAGCAACUUACACACCUUUUCUUCCUGACCUUCUAUCACAAAGCCAUCUGGCUGUUGCAUAUAGAUUUCCUCAUUUAGCUCUCCAUUCAGGAAAGCCGUCUUAAUGUCCAUUUGAUGAACGAGAAGACCAUGAGAGGCCGCCAAUGAGAGUAGUACUCGAAUGGUGGUCAGUCUAGCCACAGGUGAAUAAGUAUCGAAGAAAUCUUCUUCUUCUUUCUGGGCAUAGCCCUUGGCCACAAGCCUAGCCUUGUACUUUUCAAUCGUACCAUCGGGCCUAAGUUUCUUUUUGAACACCCACUUGCAUCCCAAUGGUUUGCAACCAUAGGGACGAUCAGUGAUUUCCCAUGUCCCGUUAGCCAUGAUGGAAUCCAUCUCGCUACGGACCGCAGCUUUCCAGUAAUCAGCAUCUGGAGAAGCAUACGCUUCUGAAAUAGAAGUGGGAUUAUCAUCCACGAGGUAUACGAAGAAAUCAUCACCAAAGGUCUUUGCAGUCCUUUGUCUCUUGCCCCUACCACGGGCUUCCUCGUCAUCCUCCUCAGGAUUUUCAUCGUGUGUUUGUUCAUAGUAUUCCAUAGGAAUGGCAGGCUCAGGAGUUAUUUCAGAUUCCUGUCUAGAAGUGUUUUGCAUAUCUCUCAUGGGAAAUAUAUCCUCAAAGAAUGUAGCAUCCCUUGACUCCAUUAUUGUACCGACCUUCACGUCAGGUACCUCAGAUUUCACUACUAGAAAUCUAUAGCCUACGCUAUUCUUAGCGUAUCCCAAAUUAACGCAGUCCACAGUCUUUGGUCCAAGCUUACGCUUCUUGGGGAUCGGUACGUUGACUUUCUCCAAGCAGCCCCAAGUACGUAAGUACNNNNNNNNNNNNNNNNNNNNNNNNNNNNNNNNNNNNNNNNNNNNNNNNNNNNNNNNNNNNNNNNNNNNNNNNNNNNNNNNNNNNNNNNNNNNNNNNNNNNNNNNNNNNNNNNNNNNNNNNNNNNNNNNNNNNNNNNNNNNNNNNNNNNNNNNNNNNGCGUCGUCCUUCUCUUCGACCACUCCUCGUAGGGAGUGACCUCAUUAUCUUUUGUAGGAACUUUAUUCAGGACAUGACGCGCGGUCAAUAUAGCCUCCCCCACCAUGCCUUGGAUAAACCCGAUGUAUCUAACAUGGCGUUAACCAAAUCAGUUAGAGUACGGUUUUUCCGCUCGGCAACCCCGUUUGACUGGGGUGAAUAGGGAGGCGUCCUCUCAUGAAUAAUGCCGUGUUCCGCACAAAAUGAAUCAAAUUCGUUUGAGAAGUACUCUCCACCAUGAUCAGACCGGACUCAUUUAAUUUUAUUUUCAAGUUGAUUCUCAACUUCUGCCUUAUAGAUUUUAAAGUAGUGUAGAGCCUCAUCUUUAGUAUAUAACAGAUACACAUAGCAAAAUCUAGUGGAAUCAUCUAUCAAUGUCAUGAAGUAUUUCUUUCCACCUUUAGUCAACACACCAUUCAUCUCACAAAGAUCAGAAUGUAUGAGUUCUAAUGGUGCCAAGUGUCUCUCCUCUGCAGCCUUGUGAGGCUUGCGGGGUUGCUUUGCUUGCACACACGAAUGGCACUUAGAACCUUUGGCUAAAGUGAAAGUUGGGAUUAAAUUCAGUUUUGCUAGCCGCGACAUAACACCGAAACUUAUGUGACAAAGACGUGAAUGCCAAACUUCAGAUUCAUUAACACUCGAAUGAAUAUUGUUCACGACUUUAUUACAAAAAUCUGCAAGAGAAACGCGGAACAGACCUCCGCAUUCAUAACCUUUUCCAACGAAAAGUCCAUAUUUCGUAACUACUACUUUAUUAGACUCGAAUACCAACUUAAACCCUUCUCUACACAGAAGGGAGCCACUAACUAGAUUCUUCUUGAUGGCGGGGACAUGCUGCACGUUCUUCAGCUGCACGAUCCUUCCCGAAGUAAACUUCAGAUCGACCAUGCCAACACCAAGAACAGAAGCACUCGCGCCAUUCUCCAUCAAUACGGACCCGCGACCGGUGGCGUGAUAAGAAGAGAACAAUGAUAAGUCAGCACACACAUGAAUAUUUGCACCCGUGUCCACCCACCAAUCGGUGGACUGACAAACUGUAAAUACAGUAAGUAAAUUACCAUACCCAGAUGCACCACUUUCAUUGUUACCCACAAUCAUAUUGGCAGACUUGGAGUCCUGCUCCGGCUUCUUGUACUUGUUUGGACACUUAUGCGCCCAAUGUUCCUCUCAACCACAAGUAUAGCAGCCAUCUCCCUUCUUAUUAUUCUUGAAGGGCUUCUUUUCCUUCUUCUUGAAGUCGGUAUUCAGUUGGACAGAAUUCUUUCCCUUGGGCUUGUGGGAAUUGAGGUUCCUCUGGUGUACCAUAUUGGCAGCAGAAGAGCUUUCCACCACUUUUCCAUUAGAGUCCUUUGCUCUCGAGUUCUGCUCAACACUCAGAUGGCCGAUGAUGUCCUCUACUGAGAACUCACGCCUCUGAUGUUUUAGAGUAGUAGCAAAGUUCCUCCAGGAAUUAGGGAGCUUAGCAAUUAUACAACCCGCGACAAACUUGCCCGGUAAAUUGCACUUAAGAACCUCAAGUUCUUUGGCUAUGCAUAUUAUCUCAUGAGCCUGUUCCAAUACAGAACGGUUGUCAACCAUCUUGUAAUCGUGGAACUGCUCCAUAACAUACAUCUCACUCCCAGCAUCGGUGGCCCCGAAUUUAGAUUCGAGCGCCUCCCACAAGUCCUUGGCAACAUGCAUAUGUAAUAUGCAUCAACCAGCUUAUCUCCGAUCACGCUAAUGACCGCUCCAAGGAAUAGGACGGUGGCCUCCUUAAACAUCUUCUCCUGUUCAGGAGUGAUAGUUUCCGUAGGAGUGACACCGGCUACCCAGAACACGUUCAUAGCCGUGAGCCAUAAGGUGGUUCUCGUUUGCCAACGCUUGAAAAAGGUACCUGUAAACUUAUCCGGUUUCAGUGCAGCAGCAAAACCAUUACUCGAAAAAUUCCUACACACAUUAGGUUUUUGGAUUGUUGAGUAAAUAGGCAAUUUUCCGAGUAGAUUAAUCCANAUCUCUAAUUUCAACACAGUCUGUAUUCACAAUAUCAUCAUAAGGCGGCUUAUAGAAACAUACCAUGACACGAUGACCUCUCUUUGACAAAGCCUUAGGCAAAGCUCCAGCAACAUCCCCAAGUCCACCUGCAGAAGAUUAAAAACAUGGUUACAGCUCCCUUAGCAAGCCAUUAGAAACGAAAAUGAGCAGUGUCUUCAGGCUUGAAAUCAUGUGCAGCUAUGUAUACUUAUUAUAUUAUACAACAAUGAAAAUUGUGCUCGCUCGUUUGAUUACCGAACUGACUUUCAGCUUAAUGAUAACAUUUGCACAGAUUUCAUACGACCUCCAAAAAAUAGAAACAAAACAAGGGAUGCU